AGGUGGACAGAGAGACGGAUGGACAGGCAAGCAGACAGGACAGACAGAGAGACAGGUAGACAGAGAGAGACAGGUGGACAGAGUGUUUAACUUCUAGUUUGUGUCUUUAUUCUCGUUCCUAGCAGCAUCAUAAAGACAGACAUGAUCAAGCGAUGGCCGCCGCCAGGCAUAACCAAGCGAUCAGGCAGACAGACACAGAUUAAGAAUGUAUUCAUUUUUCUGGCUUUAUUUAGAUGUUUUGGUACAAAAAUAAAACUAAAAAACAGUAACAGAUAUUUUUAAAUGAAAGAGAAAAAUAACAGCUUCUCAAAAAUGUAGUCUUUAAUUUGGGGGAGGGAAAUUAUUUUAAUGGUGAAAUGUGUUUUCAUACGUGCUUAUAAAAAUAAUGCAUAUUAACAAUCAUAUUUAAAUAUUUAGAAUAUUCAUAACCAGCAUUUCCCUUUUAUAGUUUCUCAGGUAUGAACUUUUUCCCUUUUCAGAGAUGAUUUCAGCCAGUAAUGGUGAGAGUUGGGGUACGUACCAGUACUCUCCUGAAGGGUGCACCCGUUCACUACAGUCAGAGAGAGACAGAUGGACAUACAGUCAGA